AAAUCCCACCUCUCCUUCUGGCUACAGAGUACUUACCAAGCCCAUGAAAUCGAAUGCAGAUCUUCCUGAUGUCAGAUUUACAUAAAUAUGUCAAAGUCUCAACCUCAUGCUGCCCUCCCCCAUCCUCCUAAACCUGUGGUUACAAAUGCAGAUUUCCUUAAUGUUCAAUGGUGCGUGUUCUUUUAAUGGCCGCCUUCCCACUGGAGAUUUUGAUCCACAGCAAUUUAAAAGGAGGACAGAGCAAAACGGACAUCGGCGCAGAGUGAAGAA
rnacentral:lncRNA from 1 species